rnacentral:lncRNA from 1 species
AGCUGUUGGCGAGGUCGCUCUACAUCUGCCUAGUGGAGCUUUUAUUGCAUUAGAUGCAUGUUAUUUUGUUCCUUCUAUUAUCAAAAACAUUAUCUCCAUUUCAUGUUUAACAGUUAAUGGAUAUAAAUUUGUUUUUGAGAACAAUGGUUGUUCGAUAUUAUUAGAUGAUAAGAUCAUCACGAAAGGAACAUUGCAUAAUGGUUUAUUUAUGUUAGAC